rnacentral:rRNA from 1 species
GCUUGCUGCAUGCUUUAUACAUGCAAGUCGAACGAAGGCCCUAGCUUGCUAGGUGUCCUUAGUGGCGCACGGGUGAGUAACACGUGGGAACAUACCUUAUAGUACGGAAUAACUGCGGGAAACUGUAGCUAAUACCGUAUAUUCCAGUAAUGGGAAAGAUUUAUCGCUAUAAGAUUGGCCCGCGCAAGAUUAGCUUGUUGGUGAGGUAAGAGCUCACCAAGGCUUCGAUCUUUAGCUGGUUUGAGAGGAUGAUCAGCCACACUGGGACUGAGACACGGCCCAGACUCCUACGGGAGGCAGCAGUAGGGAAUAUUGGACAAUGGGGGCAACCCUGAUCCAGCAAUGCAGCGUGAGUGACGAAGGCCUUAGGGUUGUAAAACUCUUUCAUCGGUGAGGAUAAUGACAGUAGCCGAAGAAGAAGGACCGGCUAAUUCCGUGCCAGCAGCCGCGGUAAUACGGAAGGUCCUAGCGUUGUUCGGAAUUACUGGGCGUAAAGCGCAUGUAGGCGGAACAGAAAGUUAGAAGUGAAAUCCCUGGGCUCAACCUAGGAAUUGCUUUUAAAACUUCUGUUCUGGAAUUCAGGAGAGGAAAAUGGAAUUUCCAGUGUAGAGGUGAAAUUCGUAGAUAUUGGAAGGAACACCAGUGGCGAAGGCGAUUUUCUGGACUGAUAUUGACGCUGAGAUGCGAAGGCAUGGGUAGCAAACGGGAUUAGAUACCCCGGUAGUCCAUGCAGUAAACGAUGGGUGCUAGUCGUCGGACUCUUGUUCGGUGUCGUAGCUAACGCGUUAAGCACCCCGCCUGGGGAGUACGGU